ACGGGAGGCAGCAGUAGGGAAUAUUGCACAAUGGGGGGAACCCUGAUGCAGCAACGCCACGUGUGGGAAGAAGCAUUUCGGUGUGUAAACCACUGUCGUGAGGGAAUAAUGCUUGGCUCCUGCCAAGUUGAAUGUACCUCGAAAGGAAGCACCGGCAAACUUCGUGCCAGCAGCCGCGGUAAUACGAGUGGUGCAAGCGUGGUUCGGAAUCACUGGGCGUAAAGGGAGCGUGGGCGGAGACGCAAGCAGUAUGUAAAAUACAGGGGCCCAACCCCGGACCUGCAGACUGGACUGUGUCUCUUGGAUAGUUCAGGGGCAGGCGGAAUUCCUGGUGUAGCGGUGGAAUGCGUAGAGAUCAGGAAGAACACCGAUGGCGAAGGCAGCCUGCUGGGGACUCAUCGACGCUGAGGCUCGAAAGUGCGGGUAGCAAACAGGAUUAGAUACCCUGGUA
rnacentral:rRNA from 1 species